rnacentral:lncRNA from 1 species
ACUACUAGAACACACCCGCGAAAUCGCGGGCAUUCAGAGCGUAGUUUAUAGUAUGUAAAGUGUUGUUGGAAGAAUUAUGUAAAAUAUUGAAUGACUGGAGAAUUUCAGCAAAAGUAUCAUAAGUCAAAGGUUAUUGGGGACAGGAAAAUGUGUUUUUUUUUUAUCCCUCCUCCUUUAUUUCCAAAAUUGCCAAUUUUGGUUUUCUAUCAAUUUCAAUAUGAACAUAAUACAUUUAGUGGGGAAUUUCAGCAAAAGUAUCAUAAGUCAUAGGUUAUUGGGGACAGGAAAAUGUUUUUUUUUAUAUCCCUCCUCCUUUAUUUCCAAAAUUCCCAGUUUUUGGUUUUCUAUCAAUUUCAAUAUGAACAUAAUACAUUGAGUAUGUUAUGAACAUUUAAGUAAGGAGCCUGUAAUUCAGUGGUUAUCGUUUGUUUAUUUGUUACAUAUUUGUAUUUCGUUCAUUUUUUGUACAUCAAUAAGGCCGCUAGUAGUUUUCUGGUUUGGAUUGUGUUACCUUGUCAGUUCAGGGCCUUUUAAAGCUGAUUAUGCGGUAUAUGGCUUUGCUCAUUGUUGAAGGUCGUACGGUGAACUAUAGUUGUUAAUUUCUGUAUCAGAAAAGGUAUCAAAAGUUCACAUGAAUAAUUUUAGCGUAUAUUAUGAACAUUCAUUACUAUAUAAAUAUAGUGUAUUUACUUUCAAUUUUAAGUUUACUAAUCGAUCCAUGGUGGUCAUUGAUAUAGUAUACAGACCCUCUCUAUUUAAUAAACUAUGUGACCGCCGUGGAUAGUAAACUUGAAAAUGAUAGCAGAUAGAAUUCUUAAAAUACAGUAUACAGAAAAACGCAAACCGGAAGUCUAAUCAGACUUAAAAUUUCGUCCAAUGACGGGACAAUAUCCGGAUGCCUUUUUUCUCGUUUUUCUCCCAAAAUAACUCAAUCUGAAUAAUCAUAUGAAUGGAUGACAAAUGCGACUAUGCACUGUACCUAUAGGACACAGAGGCGUGUUGAUUAAUUUAUUGUGGAAAGAAGAGAAGCGACACCAAAAAUGAGGUCUUCUCGUUUAAUAGUAUAGAUACAA